CCUACGGGGGGCAGCAGUGAGGAAUAUUGGUCAAUGGGCGAGAGCCUGAACCAGCCAAGUCGCGUGAGGGAGUACUGCCCUAUGGGUUGUAAACCUCUUUUGUCGGGGAGCAAAAGCCGGACGUGUCCGGCUGUGAGAGUACCCGAAGAAAAAGCAUCGGCUAACUCCGUGCCAGCAGCAGCGGUAAUACGGAGGAUGCGAGCGUUAUCUGGAUUUAUUGGGUUUAAAGGGUGCGCAGGCGGAUUUUUAAGUCAGCGGUCAAAGCGUGGGGCUCAACCCCAUCCAGCCGUUGAAACUGGGGAGCUAGAGUGUGCGAGAGGUAUGCGGAAUGUAUGGUGUAGCGGUGAAAUGCUUAGAGAUCAUACAGAACACCGAUUGCGAAGGCAGCUUACCAAACUAUAUCUGACGUUGAGGCACGAAAGCGUGGGUAGCAAACAGGAUUAGAUACCCUAGUAGUC
rnacentral:rRNA from 1 species